UAUAUUUUUCUCACAUUGUAUAACAAUUCAUUGAUUUUUUUAUAAUUUUUUUUAGGAAAUAACUGAAAGAUUAAAAAAAAAGGCUAGGUAAUGAAGUAUAUAUAUAUAUAUAUAUAUAUAUAUAUAUAUAUAUAUAUAUGUACGUAUACUUAUCACAUCCUUUUUACGUAACAAGGAGACUCGUCAAGAGUAUUAGCUGAAACGCGGCCAUAGUUGAGCAACGAGGAAGGCCGUUAUAUCGUAACGGCCACCGGUGUGUGCAGUACGGAAUGUGGAAUCGCGGAUGAAAAAACGUGUCACGAAUCCUUGACCUCCUCUCGUAUACACAAGGUGCUAGCUUAGGAGAGCACUUGGGCGAUCAACCACAAGAAAGAUGGCUACCUAAAUACUCUUAGAUUCUUCAAUCUCUUUUUUCACGUAUAAUAGAAUUUCUUAGAGUAGGUACUGAACGAUUCGAUGGAUACAGUGCCAUUUCAAAGAUCUACUGAUGUGAAAAUGUUAUAGAGAAAGAAAAAUUGAUCGAUCUUAUGAAAGUUAUUGUUAUCUAUUUGUUACAAAAAUAAUGAUAAUUCAUAUGACGUUAUCACGAUUGACCUUCUAAGACCUAAUAUACAAAUCUGCAUAUUUAGAUCAAUAACGUUAUGGUUGCUUGUGUGAUUACAAUUUAAAAAUAAUAAGAUAGAUCAAAUUGAUCGAAGUAUUUUAUCUAUAAAUCAAAUGUCGUUUGUCUAUUGAGUUUAGGAUCAAUCGGAAUUUUAUGACGGUUUAUGUAGACAUUUCGCCCCAUUUUUUUCUUUCUUUAUUUUCUUUUUUCCUCUCAUUUAUAUAUUUUUUUUUUGUUUCAAUGCUCGGAUUGCGCCAACUCCCACUUACAAAAUAAUUGUGCGUAUUUAAAUGAAUGGCGAUUAGAAAUGUAAAAAUGUAAGAAAAAUAAAUGUAAUCGGCAUAUUACAUUUAAAAGUUAAAAGAUACUCGAAUCUUAUAUGAGAAGUUGCGAAUAACCGGCUGAACUCUGGCAUGCCAGGCUAGACGAUCCUUGACCUUCUGCCGCAUACCAAAGAAAUUCUGAAACAACGUUGUCUCUUACGCACGAAUGUAGAAAUUUCUUUUUAUUCUCAUCGCAAUGAGUACAACGACCGCCCACGUGAGCUAUACUUAUUUGAUAAAAGUAUUAUUUAUAAACAUAAAGAUAAUAAUCGAUCGAUUUUUCUCACAAUGUCGUUGACUCAUUAUCGGAAAAAUAAUUAAACAUCACGUCAAGGCAUAGGAAAAUUUCUUCUAUUGAAAAAACUCCAGUUAGUCCCUGUUUUUAUUAAUUUAAAUUUCUCUUUCGUAAAUACAAUUGCGAACGCAAGGAACCUCGUUGACAAUCGAUUUGGAAAAUGAAGCAACAGACUUGGCGCGUUUGUCUUUCGAUAUAAUCGAUUUCCAUCACUUUGAAGUCUUCUUGACUGUUCUUCUACGAUAAGACUAGAAAGAAAGCAUGUUCGAUCGCAUAUUACUUGAAGGAAAAGAGAAAGAGAGAGAGAGAAAACUCCUCCAUCUUCUACGUAUGCUGUUACGUUAACUUAUGGAAAGAUAUGACCGCUCCAAUGCCUUCUGAAAUUGAAUUACACGCAUGGUGAUCCACGUGAAAGAGGUGGCUACUGUGCAUGCAGAAUGAGGACAUGUUAAGGUACUAUUUGUAUUACAUGUAACCUGGAGAAUGUUUGGUUGGAUGCCAAGGAAAAAAGUAAGAUUCUCCAAAUAAUCGCAAGAUCCACUCUGAUAUCCUAUCUUAAUCCUUUUUUUUUUUUUAAUUUUUAAUAAAAAAAUAAAACGAUAUUACCGUAAUUUUUAAAAACGAAAAACUUAUUGUUACAUAUAUGUUACAUUAAACUAUAAUUUAUUAGUACAUAUAUGUUGUAAUUUUGCAACGUCAUGGAUUUAAUCUCGUUGUUAUCAUGAAUUUAUUAUAAAAAAUUAUAAUUAUUGUUUCUCUUGUAGAAAACUUCUUUGUUCUUUAUAAAAUAUCUAUAUAUACAAGAGUAUAACAGUUCUUGUCAAAUCAGAUGUCUAAAUAGUAGACGUUUAAUUAAAUCGAUACGAUUACACGUGUUGUAUAUUAUCCGAUUGGAAAGACAGUUUCUUUACAAUUUGAAAAUAAUAUAUUUUAUAAACAUGUUGCAUCCUGUGAGCCACGCGAGUAUGUAAGAGUCUAAUGGAAAGAUGUAUGGAAAAUGCGUGACAAGAAUCCAUGGCCUAUACAGACAGAUCUGUUUAGCUUCCGGUGUUUAUCGUAUCCUAACGAGCUUUGUAGUACUCAGCCUUACAGAUAAGGACAGCUCGUGAAUGAUGCACCUCCCUUUCCUCUCCACACGUUACCUUUUAUGGAUGUUUUACGAUAUACGUUCACAAGUGUACGCGUGCUGGGCGUCAAAUGAAUGAAUUUCCAUGUGGUACUACGUAAUCGUAUAUUCUAAGUAUUCAAAUGAAAGAAUAAAAUGAUUUCCUCUUUGUAUAAAAUUAACGACUUGGUAAGGAAAAAAAAAGAAAUAAAAAUAAAAAAGAAAGAAAGACAAAAAGAUAGAAAAAUAAAGAUAAAAAUUUUUUUUUCAAUUAUCACCAACGAUAAGACGAACGAUUCAAUGUAAAAUCGUGUUUAUAUUUGAGCCAAUUACCGAAUGAAAUAGAAUUUAAUUAAAUAAACUCUUCGAACCUUUUUCCUUUAAAUUUACCAAUUCCAUUUCCUCUUAUUGUUAUAUCUUUUUCUUUUUGUUUUCCUGUUUUGAUAAUCAACGUCUAUGGUGCAAUAAUGAUAGGACGACAACGACGACGAAGACGACGAAGACGACGACGACGACGACAACAAUAACUCGUAUGAAAGUAUGAAUACAUUGCAGUCCUAUGCAAAUGAAACUAUGUUGCACAUACCGAGACAUCGAU